UGUGAAGGCCAUCAAAUGGUCAUCCCUACAUACAUAUGUACUUAUACAUUUGUAUAUGUAUACCUUGGCAUAUGCAAGAGAAUAAGCAAUGGGUAAUUGUCACACAUGUGCAAGACAGGAUGGCCAACAAAGAAAUCCUUGAAGUGUGACAGUAGGAAGCACUGGCAGAGCACAGUUCAGAAAAUAAAGAAGAAAACACAGGCUGUAAAGUGAAGUAAAUGAAAGACGAACAGAAGGUGGCUAAAGUAAACCGGUUUACCAUUUCAUUCAUGCGUUCUGGCCGGUGGCCAGUUGCCAGUGGCCAGUGUCUGGUGGUCGGAGGUCGGGGCGCAAGGAGUCAGCAGUCAGCAGUCGGUUCUCAAAUGCUCUUCCAAGGGGCUGUAAUUGUCAACUAGGCCCACAAAUUGUACGCAAACUAAACUAACAGCUUAACCGCAAAACCGUUCCAUGCCGGCCGAUGUUGAUGAUGCCGAUGCCGAUGCCGAAGUCGAUGCCCAUAACGAUGCCGAUGCCUCUGCCAGUGGCGAUCCUGUGACUCCGUCUCGAACUCGGCCACAAGUUAAGUGAGUGUGUGAGCUGGCCUAGGCGCAAAGCUUGCUAAUAGUUUUGAGCAUGGACUACGUAUACGUGUGGCAAUGGCAAGCGAAGCGCAACGCCGGAUGUCGCACUAAUGGUCAGCAGCGCAACCCCUUGCUCGCACAUUCCCUGCUCGGGCGCCAACCUCAUGUGCACUGUACUCCACGCCUCUAUGCUUUGCAGGCAACAGGCCAACAACGUGUGCAACAGAGACCGAGCGAUGUUGCUGUCCACAGACAAUCCAUACUGAAGUGGCCUGGACCUAAACCUGAACCCGGCCCGGGGAACUGCUACUCUCCUAUUCUCGUACUCUGGACCAACGCACAUUUUGCUCAAUGCUUUUGUUUUUUUUUUUCUCUCGCCGUCUGUUGUCUGUUGUUGUUUUUAUUUUUGUCUUUUUUCUUUCUGCUGCUGCUGCUGACGCUGCUGCUGAUGUUGCUGCUGCUGAUGCUGUUGCUGCUGUCUUAUCAAGACCAGUUUCCAGUUUUGCCGCUGUUUCUGUUUUCAGUUUGCUGUGUUUGCCUGCAACUUCAGUGCGUUAAUGGAAAAUAUUGUGGCAUAUCACAGGAAAUCCGGUGAGGUUUUUUCUCGCACUCCUUUUGGCGUCAGGACACUUAGCGUGCACACAGUCAGCAACAACAUGAACAAGCACAGCAGCAACAACCACAGGAACAACAACAACACGAAUGACUUUGACAAAAUUAACGGUCACAUAAAUCUUUGCCAUAGAGCUUCUAGGCGCUCUUUGCGGCUUUGCGUUAUAAAUUUAAUUAAAAUUUCUUCCUUUUUUUCCAAUGUUUUUGUUGUUGUUGUUGCUGUUGUUUUUCGUGGCGGGUUUUGUUAAUUUAACAAAUGUCUUUUAUUAUAUUGAUUAAAGCGGCUUUGGUGUCAAAUUUGUUGUCAGCUAUGUUAAGCGCCCACAAA